GAUAUUUGAGAAAGAUUAAUGAAGAAGAAAGUUCAGGAAUUGCUUGAGGAAUGUUGCGUAGUCAUUUUAGGAAUUAGAGCGAGUCGUCUGCACACCCGCCUUAUGGCAAGCGUGUCCAGAAUAGGCUAAUUUCGCUUUAGAGCAACGUUUUAAGUGAGAUUUCGAAUCCUUGGAAAAUUUAAAGAUUUUCUUUAUUUUUCCUUCGACCAGCGUUUCAUUUCGGAACUCUGGACUGUACGCACGAUAGUAUUCACUUUUCGGAAGUCCGACGACGCUAAUUUCCUUGCUUCGAAACCCUAGAUUCGAGCGAUGGAUGAAGACUUUUUCUAUUCGGGACUUCUAACGAAGUUUCCGUCCGCGUUGCCAGAUUUGUUUCGACAUUUCCAAUCUUUCUUCAGAAGGAAGUUUUGUCGUCUGAGCAUCACAGCAAAAAGUAGUUUAACGGGACAGAUUAACUUACACCGCCUUUGGGAUUUUAGAUAUCGUUUUUCCCAAACCAUAGAUAAUUGUUUUGAGUUCUGGAAUUCUGACGCCAGAAUCUCUCUUAGAAUUCCUCGGUGGACGUGCUGCAAAAAUCGGAAUCGCGAAAUUUUCAUUUUCCCGCGAUUUCACCUGCUUAUAAAUAGCUCGAAAAAGCAAAAUCUCUUCAUUCUCACCCAUUCAAGGCCGCGAGCAAGGAGAGAGGAGGAGAGGAGAAAUUUUCGCGAAAACUUGACCAAUCUUCGUGCAGUUCGUCCCUACUUCUAGGUAUUGAGGUUCGCAAUUUCCAUGCCCAACUUCUACUCACGAAGGCGAUGGAGAUCCUUCCGCCGAGGCAUAGCUACUCGAGUUGGAGAUCGAGUUGUAAGCGGUGGAGUAGAGGUAUGAGAAGCAGCUUUGCUUCUCUUCUUGUGGAUUAUGUUGGAGUCUCUUUUACUUUAUGAGAACUCUGUUAUUAAAGUCUUGCUUCCGCCACUGUUAAAGUGCGCAUGUUUAUUCUGAACCUUACUUAUGGUAUUGUAAACUAUUAUUACUGUAUAUCGGGAAACAAGUUAUCUAAAUAAAGUUAUGGUAUGUUUCCAACCUUUUAGCCGAAGUGUUUAGUUGUUUUACAGAAAAAAAUUCCCUUGGUUUUUAGGGAUUGCAGAUUGGUCCUUAGACUUUGUUAGGUUACUAAUGUGACUCCUCAGUUGAGAAAUUGGGGUGUUGCAAUUGUGGUAUCAGAGCUUUGGUCUAGAAAACCAGAGCUUUUGGGUAGAGUGCCUGCUUAAGAUGUUUGAACUCU